GGACAUAACCAACCCCACUCCUAUUGCUAUAUCCUUCCGUUUCGAACCCCAUUUCCAUUUCCAUUUCCUAAACCCAGCAAAGAACUACUUCUCUUCUUCCUCCCUCUUUUCUCUGUAUUUGUUCGUUCAUUCUUUCUUUCAUCCCAUCUUUUUCUGUAAAAUCAAGCAUCUCUGAUUUGAUUUGAUUCAAAUGGGGAAUGGAUAGACAGAAAACCAAGACGAUGAUGUGGAAAGAGAAGAGAAAUCCUUUGAGAGGACAAUUUGAAAAGCUGCUUCGAGAAAUGAUAAUGUUCCAGCUAAGUAGUUGGUUGCUGAUUGAUAGAGUCGUGGUGGCAUGUUUAAAAAAAGGGAGAGCAAGAUACAUGUUUGUAGUGAACGAUGACUAUGCUUACGCGAAAUGAUAUGCACAUUCAUUAUCAUCAACAGAUAGAUAAAUGAUACCUUCUUGCCUAAUUCCUCAAAACAGCCGGAAACCAAUGUAUAACAAUGAUACUACGGGAAUUGGUGGAAGCUCAUUCCUCCAAGUUAUACACUCAACAGCCACUAUUAGUGAUGCAACAAGAAACCUAGCCAACUUGCUAUAUGAAAUCAAUGGUGGUAACGACGGACUUCACAUGUAUAUAGUGAUGGAAGGAGAAAAUGAGUCAAUGAGUGGUGGGUUUCCUACAUUUGGUCGUACCAAUUGCACCUACGAACUUUUGAAGGAUGGUACAGGGGCCACAGUUGCAAACAAUUAUGAAGGUGAUAAUGCAGUAUCUAAGAAUGUAUCUAACAAAGGGCAGGGAGCAUGGUAAUUCAGGAGGAAGGACGUGGUAUUCAGGAGGGAGCUGAUAGUGGUUUAAGAUAGAAUUUUUAUUGGUGUUUUGUCUAAUGAUAUAUGUUUAUAAAUUGUAUUGCAGAUCUUUUCUUCAUACUGUUAUUAAGGUCUAUGCAAUGUGUCGACAAGUGUAGUAAUUUAAUUAUUGUUGACCUUGAAUGAAAUUCAUCCUCAUUUUGUAAAUUGCAAAAAAAAAUUGCAAAAAAAAAAUAUAUGACAGAAA